rnacentral:ncRNA from 1 species
AUAUCGACUUUGGGAGAACCAACCUAGUUGGUGCCGAAGGAGCAACCGCCCCGGAAACUCUCAGGCAACCGGACCGACGUCGUUAC